GACGAACGCUGGCGGCGUGCUUAACACAUGCAAGUCGAACGGAAAGGCCCUGCUUUUGUGGGGUGCUCGAGUGGCGAACGGGUGAGUAACACGUGAGUAACCUGCCCUUGACUUUGGGAUAACUUCAGGAAACUGGGGCUAAUACCGGAUAGGAGCUCCUGCUGCAUGGUGGGGGUUGGAAAGUUUCGGCGGUUGGGGAUGGACUCGCGGCUUAUCAGCUUGUUGGUGGGGUAGUGGCUUACCAAGGCUUUGACGGGUAGCCGGCCUGAGAGGGUGACCGGCCACAUUGAGACUGAGAUACGGCCCAGACUCCUACGGGAGGCAGCAGUGGGGAAUAUUGCACAAGGGGCGGAAGCCUGAUGCAGCAACGCCGCGUGCGGGAUGACGGCCUUCGGGUUGUAAACCGCUUUCGCCUGUGACGAAGCGUGAGUGACGGUAAUGGGUAAAGAAGCACCGGCUAACUACGUG
rnacentral:rRNA from 1 species